UCCGGUUUACCACCGGCAGUCUCCCUAGAGUGCUCGGCUUUACCCGUUAGCAACUAGGGACAAGGGUUGCGCUCGUUGCGGGACUUAACCCAACAUCUCACGACACGAGCUGACGACAGCCAUGCAGCACCUGUGCAUCGGCCCCGAAGGGAACGUGUGUUUCCACACGCGUCCAAUGCAUGUCAAGUCUGGGUAAGGUUCUUCGCGUUGCGUCGAAUUAAUCCACAUAAUCCACCGCUUGUGCGGGUCCCCGUCAAUUCCUUUGAGUUUUAACCUUGCGGCCGUACUCCCCAGGCGGUCAACUUCACGCGUUAGCUUCGUUACCAAGGAAUUGCUUCCCCGACAACCAGUUGACAUAGUUUAGGGCGUGGACUAC
rnacentral:misc_RNA from 1 species